rnacentral:rRNA from 1 species
CCCUUUAAAGAAAGCGUAAUAGCUCACUAGUCGAGUCGGCCUGCGCGGAAGAUGUAACGGGGCUCAAACCAUGCACCGAAGCUACGGGUAUCAUCUUAUGAUGAUGCGGUAGAGGAGCGUUCUGUAAGCCUGUGAAGGUGAGUUGAGAAGCUUGCUGGAGGUAUCAGAAGUGCGAAUGCUGACAUGAGUAACGACAAUGCGAGUGAAAAACUCGCACGCCGAAAGACCAAGGUUUCCUGCGCAACGUUAAUCGACGCAGGGUUAGUCGGUCCCUAAGGCGAGGCUGAAAAGCGUAGUCGAUGGAAAACAGGUUAAUAUUCCUGUACUUCCAGUUAUUGCGAUGGAGGGACGGAGAAGGUUAGGC